UACGUAGGGGGCAAGCGUUGCUCGGAAUCACUGGGCGUAAAGCGCACGUAGGCGGCUUUCUAAGUCAGGGGUGAAAUCCUGGAGCUCAACUCCAGAACUGCCUUUGAUACUGGAGAGCUAGAGUCCGGAAGAGGUGAGUGGAACUGCGAGUGUAGAGGUGAAAUUCGUAGAUAUUCGCAAGAACACCAGUGGCGAAGGCGGCUCACUGGUCCGGUACUGACGCUGAGGCGCGAAAGCUAGGGGAGCAAACAGG
rnacentral:rRNA from 1 species